rnacentral:rRNA from 1 species
UGGGAACGUACCCUUUGGUUCGGAACAACCCAGGGAAACUUGGGCUAAUACCGGAUAAGUCCGUAAGGAGAAAGAUUUAUCGCCAAAGGAUCGGCCCGCGUCUGAUUAGCUAGUUGGUAGGGUAAUGGCCUACCAAGGCUACGAUCAGUAGCUGGUCUGAGAGGAUGACCAGCCACACUGGGACUGAGACACGGCCCAGACUCCUACGGGAGGCAG